CAAGUCGAACGGUAACAGGAAGCAGCUUGCUGCUUGCUGACGAGUGGCGGACGGGUGAGUAAUGUCUGGGAAACUGCCUGAUGGAGGGGGAUAACUACUGGAAACGGUAGCUAAUACCGCAUAACGUCGCAAGACCAAAGAGGGGGACCUUCGGGCCUCUUGCCAUCAGAUGUGCCCAGAUGGGAUUAGCUAGUAGGUGGGGUAACGGCUCACCUAGGCGACGAUCCCUAGCUGGUCUGAGAGGAUGACCAGCCACACUGGAACUGAGACACGGUCCAGACUCCUACGGGAGGCAGCAGUGGGGAAUAUUGCACAAUGGGCGCAAGCCUGAUGCAGCCAUGCCGCGUGUAUGAAGAAGGCCUUCGGGUUGUAAAGUACUUUCAGCUGGAGGAAGGCGAUGGGUUAAUAACCGCGUCAAUUGACGUUACCCGCAGAAGAAGCACCGGCUAACUCCGUGCCAGCAGCCGCGGUAAUACCGAGGGUGCAAGCGUUAAUCGGAAUUACUGGGCGUAAAGCGCACGCAGGCGGUCUGUCAAGUCGGAUGUGAAAUCCCCGGGCUCAACCUGGGAACUGCAUCCGAAACUGGCAGGCUUGAGUCUCUUAAAUGGGGGUAAAAUUCCUGGUGUUCCGUUGAAAUGCGUAAAGAUCUGGAAGAAUACCGGUGGCAAAGGCGGCCCCCUGGACGAACACUGACGCUCAUGUGCCAAAGCGUGGGGAGCAAACAGGAUUAGAUAC
rnacentral:rRNA from 1 species